rnacentral:rRNA from 1 species
GUGAACUCCGGGCCAGGGUGCGCGGGAAUACGGAGGGUGCAGGCGGUAUCCGGAAUGCGUGGGGUUAAAGGGGGCGGAUGCGGUAUUUUAAGUCAGUGGUGAAAUCUCCUGGCUUAACUAGGAAACUGCCAUGGAUACUGAGGGUCUUGAAUGUUUGUGAGGUUAGCAGAAUAGUUCAUGUAGCGGUGAAAUGCAUAGAUAUGACAUAGAACACCAAUUGCGAAGGCAGCUUACUACACAAAUAUUGACGCUGAGGGACGAAAGCGUGGGGAGCAAACAGGAUUAGAUACCCUUGUAGUC